rnacentral:lncRNA from 1 species
AGGGAGGCAGCACCGGGGCAGAAACCACCUUACACUGCCCAGCCCCCCGCUCACCAUCACACCCCCCGAAAGUAUCAGCACCCGUCCUCCACUCCCGACACACUCACACUCUCUCUUUCCCUUGCCCUGUGCCUGUCUCUCUCCAUUCUACCAAGUAGCCGGCCAGACCUUUUCUCUCUCUCUCUCUCUCUCUCUCGCACUCUCUCUCCUGCCCUGUCGACAUCCAUCGAGCGUUCCACGCCUUUCUCCCUCAGCUUCCAAAGCCGUGCUGUCUACCGUUACUGCUGCUGUCCGUCCGUGUCUCUAUCUGCAACAAGUUCCCUGGGACAUUUUUGGAAACUUUUUUUCCUCAAGACAUUUCUUUUUUUGCUAUCUCCCUGGAGACGCCAGUGCAUGUGGUGCUGUGUGUGAAAGGGUCUAGUGUUGCUCUUUCCUGGGGGUCUCUGUACACCAUUAACCAGAGGAGAAGAUUACUUGACAUCAUGAUCAAAGUUCAGCUGCUGCUUCUGCUGGCCCUGGUCGGCCCCCUCUGUGCCGUCGCACACGCAAGCACACUGGUGACACCAGUAGAGCUGGUGACAGAUUCCCCUGCUGUUCCCGAGGCCACUGAGGCCCUCAAAGAGGAAGAUCCCGUAGUCACCCAUGCCCCUUCGGCUGAACCCGAGGCUGCGGCCGAGGAUGUCGUAACGGACACCCCUGCCGCCGAGGAUGUCGUAACGGACACCCCUGCCGCCGAGGAUGUCGUAACGGACACCCCUGCCGGAGAAGAAACCGCCGCUACUGAGGCUGCUGCCACGGACGUCGCUCCCGUGGAGACCGAAGCCCCUGCCCCUACCACUGAAGCUGCCAAGCAGGAGGCGGCCACAACUAACGCCCCUGCCAUCAUCACCGAGGCCACGACAGCUGCAGAGGCUAAGGAGGAGGUGGAGGAGCCAGAGGAGGGUAUGGGCUCUGGACAAGUGGUUGGUAUUGGGAUUGGUGCAUUGGUGGCAGUGAUCGUUGUCAUCGCCGUGGUGAUCGCCGUGGUGAGGAGAAUGGGUAAAUAUUCCCCCUGAGGAGAAAGGCUGCAAGACAGGAAGUCCCCAAAACGUUCUGGCAAUUCUGAUCUAUGUAAUUUCCUGUCAUUAAACAAGCAUUCUACCAGCACUCUAACUUAACCAGGAUCUUGGACUGUUGACAAAAGGAGGGGAAGGUGUGUGGGGGAGGAUGUUUGCCCACCUCUCCUCUUCUCCCCCAACCCCAAGACAGGGCCAUUGACAUCAGCGGUCCUGUACAACCACACAGCAACCCCCCAUACCAACAACCAAACUGAAAAAAAGGUUGCCCACAGGAUGUCACAUUGAAUUUCAGGGUCUUUCAUUUGGAUUUGUAAAAAUAAGUAAGGGAUUAUCUCACUUGUGGUAGAAAACGCUCUCUCUUAUGCAAGGGUGUGUACAUUAACACAGAUGUGCAUUUGAGUUGGUGAAGAGGACCUAUACAAGAAAAAAAUGGGAAUAUGGAAAAAAGGAGACGGGAGAGAAUGUUGUGAAUUCCAUAGGGUGUAUAUACCAUGCAAAGGGACUAUAGUUAUUACUUUAUCAUAUGUUGCAGUUGCUCACUAUAGCAUUCAGUAUAUGGAACAUUGCAAAGCAGCCAAAGGCUAUUGUGGCCAAUGAACCGAACUGAAAAUCCCUCAGAAAAACCAACCACAUUAGUAUUUUGUCACCUUAACACCUAGCCAAUGAGUCCCUCACUACAGAAAUGUUCCAACAACUAUAUGAAGCACUGAAUGCAGAAGUUGAUUUGACAUUGUGCUCAUGUUCUGAGGGUUAGCGAGGGGCUAAUGAAAAGACGGCUCAUUUGCAAGUGUAACGUGACAUUCUGCCAGCUUUAACACUGACAUAAAAACCUAGUACAUAUCUGUGAAAUUUAGCAGAAGGGUUUGUGCCACUGUCUCUGGUAUUCCCUGGAUAGUUUGGAGAUGUUACUAUUGAAGUACAUUAAUGUGAAUUGACUGUACUUUAACUGCCACCCAUUCCAAUAGGACAGUUUUGACGACUUCAGGUUUUCACCCAAAAAUGUGUUCCAUGUACAGGUAGUGGUUAUUAGCCCCCAUUCUGCUAGCAUUAUCUUUUAUAAUGUAUCCACCGUACUUCUGCUUACUUUAGUUGGGAUAGAGUAUACCAAGCAAAAAUACACACACAUUUUCUUCAUAAUCGUUAGUAGUCAUUAAUGGGUGUAAAAAUCAUUCAGUCUCAGCUUAGCUCCGCUUGCUUUAAGAACUCAGUUAAUAAGUGCACUGAAUGAGUGAUGAUAAUUGUUUAAUGAAUCCGCUUUAGACACUGCAAUCGUUUGCGACGACAUUUGUUCUCCGCUUUUGCUCCAUAUUAUCAACAAGUCCUUCAAGUCCUUUUAUUUAAUUGCAGUGUGUUUGUUCAUACUGUUUCAAUAAAAAAGUGAAAACACUCCACAAAUAUA